AGCACUCCUGAGGACCACGACCUCACAGUAGACUACAUCCUCACUCCAACCAGGGUCAUCGCCACCGGCUGCGAGCGCCCAAAGCCAGUGGGCAUCACGUGGUCCAAGAUCAGCCCUGAGAUGCUGGAGAGAAUCCCGGUGCUCCGAAGCCUACGAGAGCGAGAGAGGCGGGCUGGGAAGGACGUCAGCCUGUGGGCCGAUCUCCCGCACCCGGCACCCCUGUGCACCGUCGUGGGACCCCAGCUCGCACCCCGGCCAGGGUUGAGUGUCCCGGGGGCAGCCUCUGGCAGGAUGGGCAGCCCCCAGCAGCGGAGCCACGCUGGACAGACACAGGCCCUCCGCCACCGGCGUCUCUGACAGGACACUGCCGCCCUGUCCAUGGCUGUGCACACAGUGAGUGCGGAGCGGCUGCAGGCUCCUCGGUUGGCUGCGCACAACGGCGGCCUCUGUGCCCGGCCCAGCCACACUGUGCAGAAGGGGCCCGCACUCUGUGCCCAGGGCGCAGGCCGGGCGGCAACCUCAGGACGCAGGCGCCCUCUGGCCCGCGCCCCCCAGGCCCUGGCCACCCCCCAGGUGCUCUUCACCCCACUUUCCCGUUUUCCCACAGUGACCGCUGUGCCCGAGGGUGUCCAGGAGUCCUGGGCAUUGGAUAGCAGAGGCGGACACAUGGCCCUCACCCCACAUCCCAGCUCCCGUGUCCAGCCUGCCCAAGGCCAGCUCAGCCCUCAGUUGGGAGGCACAGCGCUAGGUGGCCACUCCUGGCGCUGGGGAGCCAGGCUGCUGGGUCCCCUCACUCGGGACCAGGACAAUCCAGAUUGCUGGGCAGGCAGGAGUCCCGGCCACAGAUGUGAUGGCAGGCUCCCAGGCACUCAGCAUCAUGAGGCACACUUCACGUGAGGGUGAUGUGGGGCAUGGGGGGAGCUCCCACGGGCACGGGGUCCCAUCCUGAGUGGGGAGCAGUGUUGCCACGGGACGACACCACCUGCAGAAGCUGCAGCUGUGGACCCUAGAAGUGUACCUUCAGCUCCACGGGGGAGUGCAGAGUCUGGUCCACUGCCCCCUCCUGAGUGGUGCCGGGUCAGGGUGGCCAGGGGUGCACCUUCCUCCUCAUCCUCAGGCCCAGCUGGUCACCUCCACUUGAAUUUUCCUAUGUGCCAGGGGGUGGCACAGGUCUGUCAUCCCAGCACUCUGGGAGGCUGGGGCAGGAGGAUCGUGAGUUUGAGCAGCUUCGUGAGACCCUGUCUCAAAAUAAAAAAGG
rnacentral:lncRNA from 1 species